UACGAAGGGGGCUGGCGUUGCUCGGAAUCACUGGGCGUAAAGCGCACGUAGGCGGCUUUCUAAGUCAGGGGUGAAAUCCUGGAGCUCAACUCCAGAACUGCCUUUGAUACUGGAGAGCUUGAGUCCGGGAGAGGUGAGUGGAACUCCGAGUGUAGAGGUGAAAUUCGUAGAUAUUCGGAAGAACACCAGUGGCGAAGGCGGCUCACUGGCCCGGUACUGACGCUGAUGUGCGAAAGCGUGGGGAGCAAACAGG
rnacentral:rRNA from 1 species